UUAGAUUUGACUUAAAUGUGAUCUUGGGAAAUUUAAUAACCCAAUCUUGGUGCAUUCUCUGUUUAUGGCGUCCUAUCUCCAGGUUUUUGUGUUGAAGCCAAAUCAAGUGCCAAUGGUCCGUCGAAGGGUCCCUCAAAGGUCGUCCCCCAGGGUUGCUGCAUCACAACCCUCAGAAGAUGGCUGGACAGUUGUUGGACUAGGCAGAAAGAGGUUCCAGCCAGCUGACAAGUCUUGUGUUUCACCCACAAAGAAACUGGUUCAAACUGAGGAGGACAUGGUGGAAUGUUCCAUUGUGCUAAAUCCUGUGUGGUUUAGUAAGGAGCUUCUUCAAACUUUGGGCGAUUGCACCAUUCACAUCCCAGCCCCUGUGUCUCCACCUGGUCCAAAGGGCCCAAAGGUUAGUUCAAUACUGUAUUUGUUUUUCCUUUUGGUUAAGGUUGACGUUACAUUGUCAAACACAUUGUGUAUUACUAAAAAGCAACAUUGUUUAUAUUGUUUUUCUAUCUGUUAGAAGGCAGUGAAAGAACAUCGCCACCAUCAGUUUGCUACCAAGAGGACAGCGCUUUUGCAGCAGGUGGGCUUUUACUCCUUUUGAAA